AUCAUUAACGAGUAGAGGUCUCUCUUGGCCCGACCUCCCAACCCUUUGUCUACUUGACCAUCGUUGCUUCGGCGAGCCCGUCCUCACGGACCGCCGGAGGGACCUUCACAGGCCCUCUGGUCCGCGCUCGUCGGUAGCCCAACCAUUAAAAUCUUUAACUAAACGUGCCUUAAUCUAAGUACAAUUAUUAAAUAAAAGCAAAACUUUCAACAACGGAUCUCUUGGUUCUGGCAUCGAUGAAGAACGCAGCGAAAUGCGAUAAGUAAUGCGAAUUGCAGAAUUCCAGUGAGUCAUCGAAUCUUUGAACGCACAUUGCGCCCUUUGGUAUUCCGAAGGGCAUGCCUGUUCGAGCGUCAUUAUCACCCCUCAAGCCCCUGGCUUGGUGUUGGACGGUUUGGUGGAGGCCCCCUCGGGGGCUCCUGCCCCUCCCAAAGACAAUGACGGCGGCCUCGUGGACCCCCGGUACACUGAGUUCUUCACGGGACACGUAUCGGAUACAUGGGUUUACGGGACACGGUCUGCCUCCCCUCAGGGAGAAUCUUUCUAAGGUUGACCUCGGAUCAGGUAGGGAUACCCGCUGAAC
rnacentral:rRNA from 1 species